AUGAGGUACACCAGAACCAUGUGAGCUUGUUUAAGAACUGAUUUCUGCACCAUCACGUGUGAGAGCCUUGUUAUCUGUUUGCCCUGGACUUUUUAAUUCCUCUGUGUACGAUUUGCAGAGCAGCCAACAUCCAGACACAUGUUUUCAUGAAUCAUCAUGCGUGAAUCAAACUGAUGUAUACAAAUAUAGUGUAAAAAACCUUACUUUAGAUUUAAAGGAAAUAAUUUUUUAUGUUGAAUUUAAAAUUAAAAAAAAUAUC